UACGUAGGGAGCGAGCGUUAUCCGGAUUUAUUGGGCGUAAAGCGUGCGUAGGCUGUUUAUUAAGUUUAAGAUAAAAGCCCGGGGCUCAACUCCGGUUCGUCUUAAAAACUGGUAAGCUAGAGUAUGGUAGAGGUAAAUGGAAUUUCUAGUGUAGCGGUGAAAUGCGUAGAUAUUAGAAGGAACACCAGUGGCGAAAGCGAUUUACUAGGCCAAAACUGACGCUGAGGCACGAAAGCGUGGGGAGC
rnacentral:rRNA from 1 species